CCUACGGGUGGCAGCAGUGAGGAAUAUUGGUCAAUGGGCGUGAGCCUGAACCAGCCAAGUAGCGUGAAGGAUGACUGCCCUAUGGGUUGUAAACUUCUUUUAUAGAGGAAUAAAGGUAUGCACGUGUGCCUUUUUGCAUGUACUUUAUGAAUAAGCAUCGGCUAACUCCGUGCCAGCAGCCGCGGUAAUACGGAGGAUCCGAGCGUUAUCCGGAUUUAUUGGGUUUAAAGGGUGCGUAGAUGGGUUGUUAAGUCAGUUGUGAAAGUUUGUGGCUCAACCGUAAAAUUGCAGUUGAUACUGGCAGUCUUGAGUGUGUUUGAGGUAGGCGGAAUGCGUGGUGUAGCGGUGAAAUGCUUAGAUAUCACGAAGAACUCCGAUUGCGAAGGCAGCUUACUAAGCUACAACUGACAUUGAUGCUCGAAAGCGUGGGUAUCAAACAGGAUUAGAUACCCGUGUAGUC
rnacentral:rRNA from 1 species